rnacentral:rRNA from 1 species
GACGAACGCUGGCGGCGUGCUUAACACAUGCAAGUCGAACGGAAAGGCCCUGCUCUUGUGGGGUGCUCGAGUGGCGAACGGGUGAGUAACACGUGAGUAACCUGCCCUUGACUUUGGGAUAACUUCAGGAAACUGGGGCUAAUACCGGAUAGGAGCUCCUGAUGCAUGGUGGGGGUUGGAAAGUUUCGGCGGUUGGGGAUGGACUCGCGGCUUAUCCGCUUGUUUGUGAGGUAGUGGCUUACCAAGGCUUUGACGGGUAGCCGGCCUGAGAGGGUGACCGGCGACAUGGGGACUGAGAUACGGCCCAGACGGCUACGGGAGGCAGAAGUGGGGAAUAUGGCACAAUGGGCGGAAGCCAGAUGCAGCAACGCCGCGUGCGGAAUGACGGCCUUCGGGUUGUAAACCGCUUUCGCCGGUGACGAAGAGUGAGUGACGGUAAUGGGUAAGGAAGCACCGGCUAACUACGUG